ensembl:lncRNA
UGUAGAGUAGCUCAGUCAGAACUGCUGCUCAGAGUACAAGGGGCCUUGCAAGUCAAUGGCAGGACUUUGGAUUAUACCUGGAAAGGUGAAAACAAGAGGAGUUGUCUUUUGAGCAGAGCACAGAGAUGAUCCAAUUUAAGAACUAACCAGGCAGCUAUAGAUUUUCUAUGGAGAUGAGAUGGUGGGCAUCAUGGCCCAUGCCCACUGCUGCUGGGCAAUGUGAGUGGAACACGAGAGCCAUGUGGCCAGGUCUCUAUCAGCUGAGAGCUUUUGAUGUGUUUGGGAGAUGAGACAAGGUAGGGUGGAGGAGUGCAUAGGAGCCAGGACUUUCAAUACAGAAGGGUCCAGAUUGAGUCUUCCUGCUGCCACCCCCUAGCCUAGAAAGUUACUUAAAGUCUCUGUUGCCUCAUCGUUAAGUGGUAAUAAGUGGUAUUAGCAAUGUCUGCCUGAUAGGUUUCUGUGGGGGCUGACUCAGCCCAGAGUGCCUGGCACAGAGUGGGCCUGAAAGAGAUAGCAGCUGGUGUUAUUAUUCAGUAAUAAUGUGAGGUAACACCGUGCUCCUCACUGGGGUGUGGGGGUGGCAGUGGCGGUGGUGUUGGGGACAGAAAUCUUUGAGCAGAAGGUAGAUGAGAAGAGGGAGAAGGCAUGGAGGAUGGGAGCUGGCCGGAAUAAGCACAGUGUGUUCUCACAAAGGAACAUGAGGGUCUGGCUGGGAGGAGAAAACGGCCCCCACUGGAGUCUGUGCAGCCUCUUUGGCUCUAGUCAUGAGGUGAGUAGGCUUCCUCUACUACGAUGUGCUGCCUCAUCACAGGCCAGAAGCAAUGGGGCCAACUGACCAUGAAGUGAAACCUACAAAAUGUCACUUCCAGCGACCAUUUUCCAAAAUCAAUCACCCUCCAGUAACAGGAGCCUUCCAUGUAGCCUGAGUCAGACCCACCCCAGAUGUUGUUUGCCAUCAGCUGGAAACUCCUUCAAAGUCUCACAUUUUACCUUAAAGUUUUGUGAUAAAUUUACCUUUAAUAAAUUACUUAUCUGCUUAAUUGCAUUCCACCCUAAAAGUCUUUUUAAAAGAUCCUUUGAGAAAAUAAGACAUUUUCAUUUUGUGGCUUUAUAUAUACC